ensembl:lncRNA novel transcript, antisense to RWDD3
CUUCAGCCCAAACCAUAAGGUCCAUCUCACCUUCACUGCAACAAAGAAGGGUUGUUAAAGCUGGACACAGAUUUGCUUGGCUUCACCCUCUGAUGUGUUCCACACCACUUCAUGCCACUUUUCAAAAAGAUGAUAAAACGUCAGGCUGAGUAGAACAGAACUGGGUGCAAAUAAAUCUCUCUGAAGCUAACUUGCCUCUCUCUACCCCUACUUCCCUCUGCACGUGCCUUUGCUUUAUUCCCCUGCAUGAGAGAAGCAGUCAAAUCUUUCCCAUUUUCAUACCUGGAUUGCUGCUCAACAGCCUCAACAACUGAGACCUGAAUGUAUCCCCAUUUUAAAGAACCUAACAGAACAUUAAAAUUGUUUCCUGA